rnacentral:rRNA from 1 species
UCCUACGGGAGGCAGCAGUAAGGGAUCUUGCGACAAUGGGCGAAAGCCUGACGCAGCACGCCGCGUGCGGGAUGACGGCCUUCGGGUUGUAAACCGCUUUUCGGGGGGAAGAGGAAGGACGGUACCCCCGGAAGAAGUCUCGGCUAACUACGUGCCAGCAGCCGCGGUAAAACGUAGGAGGCGAGCGUUAUCCGGAUUUACUGGGUGUAAAGCGCGUGUAGGCGGUCCUGCAAGUGGCGCGUGAAAGCGCCCGGCUCAACCGGGCGAGGACGUGACCGAACUGCGGGGCUAGAGGCAGGUAGAGGCGUGUGGAAUUCCGGGUGUAGUGGUGAAAUGCGUAGAGAUCCGGAGGAACACCAGUGGCGAAGGCGACACGCUGGGCCUGACCUGACGCUGAGAGGCGAAAGCAUGGGGAGCGAACGGGAUUAGAAACCCCGGUAGUCCAUGCCGUAAACGAUGCUGACUAGGUGUGGCGGGUAUAAACUCCUGCCGUGCCGCAGCCAACGNGGUAAGUCAGCCCGG